rnacentral:rRNA from 1 species
GCAGCAGCCGCGGUAAUACGAGGGGUGCAAGCGUUAUUCGGAUUGAUUGGGUGUAAAGGGUGUGCAGACGGCUUAUUAAGUCACUUGUUAAAUUCUUCGGCCUAACUGAAGGUCUGCAAGUGAUACUGAUGAGCUAGAGGGUGGAAGAGAGAAGUGGAAUUCUCGGAGUAGCGGUAAAAUGCGUAGAUCUCGAGAGGAACACCAAUGGCGAAGGCAGCUUCUUGGUCCAUUCCUGACGUUCAUACACGAAAGCGUGGGGAGCAAACAGGAUUAGAUACCCCCGUAGUCCCUGUCUCUUAUAA